CUAAAAGAUUUAAGAAGAAAACAAAGGAUUACCCAGACCUCGAAGCACAGUACACAAUGGAUCCGACCUCAGGAGCAUGUCAGUCCCAACGGAAGUUUAUUUCAAGCCUCUGAUGCAGGUUGCAGUGGGGCUUCUUCCAAACAUGGGACUCCAGAUCUAUCCAGCCUUCAUGAAGAUGAGAAAUACAUAUCUGUGAUAAAACAACUAAAGUCAUUAUUAUAAAACCUUUGACAUAUCUGAAGUUAAAAAUA